AGAGGAAAUCCAAGUUCUUUCUUUAAGAAGGACCCAACAUCUUGCAUCAUUUUUUAUUAGAAUGUCAAAUUUCACAUAUGUCCAACAAUUUUGUCACAUUCAGGUUUUAUUUAACUCACAGUUUACAUGUACUUUAUAAAUAAUAUGAAUGACAAUUUAAACAUCAGCAUCAUGCUUUCUGUGUUGCCUAUAAACAAGUUUUACUAGAUCCACUUAGUAAUUUUAUUACAUAAACAAGUUCUUAAGGGUUUCUGUUGUCUUCACAAACAGCAUGACUACUGAUGAUGAGCUUGUUUAGACAGGUCCUGUGGUUUGUGGCUCUGUGCAGAGUCAAAGGGAAUAAUAUGGCCAUUCUUUGAAGUCAUGGUUCACCACUGGCAAAGACUUGAAGUUAUGCAAUGUGUAGUAACAUUACAUCAACUGUUUUGUUUGUAUUAAGAUACUAUAGAUAUGUUUGAUUGAUGUCAAAUAUUUUAUCUGUGUGCAAAUGAAAGUAUGAAAAUAAAUCUACAAAUU
rnacentral:sRNA from 1 species